rnacentral:rRNA from 1 species
UACGGGGGGGGCAAGCGUUGUUCGGAAUUACUGGGCGUAAAGGGCUCGUAGGUGGCCAACUAAGUCAGACGUGAAAUCCCCAGGCUCAACUUGAGAACUGCGUCUGAUACUGGAUGGCUUGAAUACUGGAGAGGGUCGCGGAAUUCCCGGUGUAGAGGUGAAAUUCGUAGAUAUCGGGAGGAACACCAGUGGCGAAGGCGGCGACCUGGACAGAUAUUGACGCUGAGGUGCGAAAGCGUGGGGAGCAAACAGG